rnacentral:rRNA from 1 species
GACGAACGCUGGCGGCGUGCUUAACACAUGCGAGUCGAACGGAAAGGCCCCUUUGGGGGUACUCGAGUGGCGAACGGGUGAGUAACACGUGAGUAACCUGCCCUUGACUUCGGGAUAACUUCAGGAAACUGGGGCUAAUACCGGAUAGGAAUCCUUGCUGCAUGGUGGGGGUUGGAAAGCUUCGGCGGUUUUGGAUGGACUCGCGGCUUAUCAGCUUGUUGGUGGGGUAGUGGCUUACCAAGGCUUUGACGGGUAGCCGGCCUGAGAGGGCGACCGGCCACAUUGGGACUGAGAUACGGCCCAGACUCCUACGGGAGGCAGCAGUGGGGAAUAUUGCACAAUGGGCGGAAGCCGGAUGCAGCAACGCCGCGUGCGGGAUGACGGCCUUCGGGUUGUAAACCGCUUUCAGCAGGGGCGAAGCUUGUGGUGACGGUACCUGCAGAAGAAGCACCGGCUAACUACGUG